rnacentral:rRNA from 1 species
CCUACGGGUGGCUGCAGUGGGGGAUAUUGCACAAUGGAGGAAACUCUGAUGCAGCGACGCCGCGUGAGGGAAGACGGUCUUCGGAUUGUAAACCUCUGUCUUUGGGGAAGAAAAUGACGGUACCCAGAGCGGACGCUCCGGCUAACUACGUGCCAGCAGCCGCGGUACUACGUAGGGAGCGAGCGUUGUCCGGAAUUACUGGGUGUAAAGGGAGCGUAGGCGGGCGAGAAAGUUGAAUGUUAAAUCUACCGGCUUGACUGGUAGCUGCGUUCAAAACUUCUUGUCGUGAGGGUAGUAGAGGCAGGCGGAAGUCCGAGUGUAGCGGUGAAAUGCGUAGAUAUGAGGAGGAACACCAGUGGCGAAGGCGGCCUGCUGGGCUUUAACUGACGCUGAGGCUCGAAAGUGUGGGGAGCAAACAGGAUUAGUACCCUUGUAGUC